rnacentral:rRNA from 1 species
ACGCUCGACACCUACGGCAGCAGUCGGGAAUAUUGCGCAAUGGAGGAAACUCUGACGCAGUGACGCCGCGUAUAGGAAGAAGGUUUUCGGAUUGUAAACUAUUGUCGUUAGGGAAGAGAAAGGACAGUACCUAAGGAGGAAGCUCCGGCUAACUACGUGCCAGCAGCCGACGGUAAUCUGAGGCGGGCUGGACAAGGC